rnacentral:lncRNA from 1 species
GCAAUAGUAGUUGUAUCUAUGUACAUAUUAGCGGUCAGCUUCUGUUGUAGUAAGUAAGGAACAUAGUACCAAAUCUGUACUUAACAUAUUUUGUGUCCUGAUAUGGAUUUCUGUUAAUACAGGUGCAGGAGCUCAGUGUACUCAACACCGCUACAUACUUCAUGAUCCUUGUCAUGGUAUAGCAUGUAUGAAUUUUUGCAUACAUCAAAAGUACCAAAAUGGGACAUGCGGUUUUACUGAAAAGCCGGAUGAAACUCUUUGCUAUUGUUAUAACUGCAAGGAUAAGACUUCAAUUGAUCAAUUAGCGUUUCCUCUGCAAGGGGAACCAAAUAGCGCAUGAACAUGCAAUAUAUGAUGGACACAUCAUCAAUGAAAGAUAGUGCUUUUAGCGAGGUUGUUGUCUUUAAUAGUAUGAAAAUAAAUUGUCUGUGGGUAAUAAAGAGAUUGGUG